CGUUAGCGGCGGACGGGUGAGUAACACGUGGGUGACCUACCUAUAAGACUGGGAUAACUCCGGGAAACCGGGGCUAAUACCGGAUAACACAUGAAACCGCAUGGUUUCAUGAUGAAAGACGGUUUUGCUGUCACUUAUAGAUGGACCCGCGGCGUAUUAGCUAGUUGGUAAGGUAACGGCUUACAAGGCAACGAUACGUAGCCGACCUGAGAGGGUGAUCGGCCACACUGGAACUGAGACACGGUCCAGACUCCUACGGGAGGCAGCAGGC
rnacentral:rRNA from 1 species